rnacentral:tRNA from 1 species
GGGUUGUAACUCAGCGGUAGAGUGCUUGCCUCAUAUGUGUGAGGUGCUGGAUUCAAUUCUCAGCCCCA